rnacentral:rRNA from 1 species
UGAAUCAGCAUGUGUGUUAGUGGAAGCGUCUGGAAAGGCGCGCGAUACAGGGUGACAGCCCCGUACACAAAAGCGCAUGUGCUGUGAGCUCGAUGAGUAGGGCGGGACACGUGGUAUCCUGUCUGAAUAUGGGGGGACCAUCCUCCAAGGCUAAAUACUCCUGACUGACCGAUAGUGAACCAGUACCGUGAGGGAAAGGCGAAAAGAACCCCGGCGAGGGGAGUGAAAAAGAACCUGAAACCGUGUACGUACAAGCAGUGGGAGCACAGGUUUACCUGUGUGACUGCGUACCUUUUGUAUAAUGGGUCAGCGACUUAUAUUCUGUAGCAAGGUUAACCGAAUAGGGGAGCCGGAGGGAAACCGAGUCUUAAUUGGGCGUUAAGUUGCAGGGUAUAGACCCGAAACCCGGUGAUCUAGCCAUGGGCAGGUUGAAGGUUGGGUAACACUAACUGGAGGACCGAACCGACUAAUGUUGAAAAAUUAGCGGAUGACCUGUGGCUGGGGGUGAAAGGCCAAUCAAACCGGGAGAUAGCUGGUUCUCCCCGAAAGCUAUUUAGGUAGCGCCUCGUGAAUUCAUCUCCGGGGGUAGAGCACUGUUUCGGCUAGGGGGCCAUCCCGGCUUACCAACCCGAUGCAAACUGCGAAUACCGGAGAAUGUUAUCACGGGAGACACACGGCGGGUGCUAACGUCCGUCGUGAAGAGGGAAACAACCCAGACCGCCAGCUAAGGUCCCAAAGUCAUGGUUAAGUGGGAAACGAUGUGGGAAGGCCCAGACAGCCAGGAUGUUGGCUUAGAAGCAGCCAUCAUUUAAAGAAAGCGUAAUAGCUCACUGGUCGAGUCGGCCUGCGCGGAAGAUGUAACGGGGCUAAACCAU